rnacentral:lncRNA from 1 species
AUGGCCGAGGUUGGUAGGGUUGCGGUGAGCGGCCCGGGUUCGCGGCUGCUCCCAGGCGGCUUCUGGGCGGCGGUGGCCGUGUGGGUGGAGAGGCCGCAGGUGGCCAACAAGCGGCUGUGUGGCGUCCGCCUGGAGGCCCGGCGGAGCGUCUCCUUGCCCCCGACCGGGCACACCCACCUCCGGCCCAGUGCAGGCCCCGAGCCCCAGAGGCUUGCGGAGGCGGGAGGAUGUGGGCCCGACGCGGGGCCGGGACCCGUCCGGCGUUCCCUCGACGGGGGCCCGGGCCCUGGACCGAGCGCGGGCCCCGAUCACGGCCGCCAGGAGGCCCAGGGCCGGCGCCAGCCAGAGGAGGAGCCCCGGGAAGCCGCCGCCGCCGCCGCGGCUCAGCUCUCAGGGACCCCUGGGCAACCUGGCCAGGCUGCAGCCCGGGAGGGUGACCUCCCCGCCGCCGACCUGGGUGCUCUUUGGGACGCCUUCGCUCAGAGCCUCGCCGGCGACAAUCGAGAGAUGCUAGCCUUCCUCACCCGCACCGGGGCAGGAUCGCCGCCAGAGGGUCGGCGCGAGCUCGACUUGCUGCUCAGAACCGUCAUCCCCAAAACGAACCCGCAUUGCCCGCUUCGUGGUCCGAGGAGAGAAAUGGUCGUGCAAGAUGUCCUCAAUGGAGCUGUAACUUUUUUACCUUUGGAAGAGGAUGAUGAAGGGAAUUUAAAGGUUAAGAUGAGCAAUGUGUAUCAAAUUCAGCUCAGUCAUAGCGAAGGAGAAUGGUUCAUAUCUGUUUUAAUUUUCUGUCCAGAACGAUGGCAUUCAGAUGGCACUGUGUAUCCCAAACCCAGCUGGCUUGGAGAAGAGUUGCUGGCCAGGUUGGCCAGGUGGUGUGUGGAGAGCAGGCAGAGUGGCUUCAAAAGCACCCUGUCCCUCAUCUCCAUCGUGAAGUACAGCACGACUUACCAGGCGCUGAAAGAGAAGUACAAGGCCAUGGUCAAGGUAUGGCCUGAAGUCACUGACCCUGAGAAGUUUGUAUAUGAAGAUGUAGCUAUUGCUGCCUACCUGCUGAUCCUCUGGGAGGAAGAGAGAGCCAAACGGGGAGAGACCGCCCGGCAGUCCUUCGUGGACCUGGGCUGCGGCAAUGGCCUCCUGGUCCACAUCCUGAGCAGCGAAGGGCAUCCAGGCCGAGGGAUCGACGUCCGAAGAAGAAAAAUCUGGGACAUGUACGGACCCCAGACCCGCCUAGAGGAAAGUGCAAUCACACCAAAUGAUAAGACCCUUUUCCCUGACGUCGACUGGCUAAUCGGUAACCAUUCUGAUGAGCUGACGCCAUGGAUCCCAGUCAUUGCGGCCAGGUCUUCCUACGCCUGCCGCUUCUUCAUCCUGCCCUGCUGCUUCUUUGACUUCGUCGGGAAGUUCCAGCGGACGCAGAGCAGCAAGACGCAGUACCGAGGGUACCUGGACUUCGUCACCGAGGUGGGCUCGGCCUGUGGCUUCCACGUGGAGGAGGACUGCCUUCGGAUCCCUUCCACCAAGCGGGUCUGUCUCAUCGGGAAGUCCAGGACAUACCCGCCCGCCAGAGAGGCUGCUGUGGACGAGGAGAGGACCCGCUACAUUAACAGCAGGCGGGGCCGCCCCAGGAGCCCCCGCAGCGGGGCUCCUGCCCCUCUGCCCCCCGGGGCCGCUCCCAGCAGCUCCCCUGGCCCCGAGGGGCAUGGAGCCCUGGACGCCUGGCCCGCGCACACAGCGGAGGCCGGAGCCCCAGCGGGGGCACUCUGGCUGUCUGGGUUUCAGCCGCGGGAGAAAGCCGAGCGCCUGAGGAACUGUGCCGCCCUCCCUCGAGAGUUUGUGGACCGAGUGGUUUUGCACGUGGCGCGCUUGUUGCUGGGAAAGGGAAGCCCUGCAGGCGGGAGUGCGCAGGCCUGGAAUCGCGGAGGGAGCCUGUCCUUGGCGGAGGUGGCUGGGGAGCUGGACCGGGAGAUGCUGCGGAGGCUGAAGCGGGAAUGCGGGGGCCUGCAGACACUGCUGAGGAACAGCCCGCAGGUGUUCCAAGUUCUGCACGGACACGUGCGCAUCCGCGACUGGCGGGAGGAGAGGCCGCGGAAGCAGGAGGAACCAGAGGCGAAGCGGAGGCCGUCCUCCGACACCUUCAAAACCCGCAUCUGCUGGUUCUUCGCUCAUCACCCCGACGGCUGCGUCCUGCCGGCGGACUGCUGCCCGUUCGCCCACGGGCCCGGGGAGCUGCGGCCGGCGCCCCGCACCAAGAAGAAGCCAGCUCUUUGA